UGCAGCUGGGCGCCGAGCCCUGCCACCACUGCAGGCCCGCAACAGAAAUGGCAGGGACGGGGGAACCAAGAACGUGGACGCCGAAUCGGCGUCCUUGGGGUGAAGCCAGCACGUCUGGCCGGGCGACUCUCUCCCGAACCCGACAGCUCACCUCGAAGGCGUCAGGGAGGCUUCAU
rnacentral:sRNA from 2 species